UACAGAGGUCCCGAGCGUUGUUCGGAAUUACUGGGCGUAAAGGGCGCGUAGGCGGUUCGUUAAGUCCUGUGUGAAAUCCCCCGGCUCAACUGGGGAACUGCACAGGAAACUAGCGGGCUUGAGUUCGGGAGAGGGAAGCGGAAUUCCGGGUGUAGCGGUGAAAUGCGUAGAUAUCCGGAGGAACACCGGUGGCGAAGGCGGCUUCCUGGACCGACACUGACGCUGAGGCGCGAAAGCUAGGGGAGCAAACGGG
rnacentral:rRNA from 1 species